UCAUCGUCAUCGAAAGCCGGUGGUUGGC
rnacentral:sRNA from 1 species